CCUACGGGUGGCAGCAGUGAGGAAUAUUGGUCAAUGGACGAGAGUCUGAACCAGCCAAGUAGCGUGAAGGAUGACUGCCCUAUGGGUUGUAAACUUCUUUUAUAAAGGAAUAAAACGAGGCACGUGUGCCUUUUUGCAUGUACUUUAUGAAUAAGGAUCGGCUAACUCCGUGCCAGCAGCCGCGGUAAUACGGAGGAUCCGAGCGUUAUCCGGAUUUAUUGGGUUUAAAGGGAGCGUAGAUGGGUUGUUAAGUCAGUUGUGAAAGUUUGCGGCUCAACCGUAAAAUUGCAAUUGAUACUGGCAGUCGUGAGUACAGUUGAGGUAGGCGGAAUUCGUGGUGUAGCGGUGAAAUGCUGAGAUAUCACGAAGAACCCCGAGUGCGAAGGCAGCUUACUAAACUGUGACUGACAUUGAUGCUCGAAAGUGUGGGUAUCAAACAGGAUUAGAUACCCGGGUAGUC
rnacentral:rRNA from 1 species